rnacentral:rRNA from 1 species
GACGAACGCUGGCGGCGUGCUUAACACAUGCAAGUCGAACGGAAAGGCCCCUUUGGGGGUACUCGAGUGGCGAACGGGUGAGUAACACGUGCGUAACCUGCCCUUGACUUCGGGAUAACUUCAGGAAACUGGGGCUAAUACCGGAUCGGAAUCCUUGCUGCAUGGUGGGGGUUGGAAAGCUUCGGCGGUUUUGGAUGUACUCGCGGCUUAUCAGCUUGUUGGUGGGGUAGUGGCUUACCAAGGCUUUGUCGGGUAGCCGGCCUGAGAGGGCGACCGGCCACAUUGGGACUGAGAGACGGCCCAGACUGCUACGGGAGGCAGCAGUGGGGAAUAUUGCACAAUGGGCGGAAGCCUGAUGCAGCAACGCCGCGUGCGGGAUGACGGCCUUCGGGUUGUAAACCGCUUUCAGCAGGGGCGAAGCUUGUGGUGACGGUACCUGCAGAAGAAGCACCGGCUAACUACGUG